rnacentral:rRNA from 1 species
GUGCCAGCCGCCGCGGUAAUACGGAGGAUGCGAGCGUUAUCCGGAUUUAUUGGGUUUAAAGGGUGCGCAGGCGGUUAAUCAAGUCAGUGGUCAAAUGCACACGCUCAACGUGUGCUGCCAUUGAAACUGGUUUGACUGGAGUACUGCGGACGUUGGCGGAAUGCGUGGUGUAGCGGUGAAAUGCAUAGAUAUCACGCAGAACUCCGAUUGCGAAGGCAGCCGGCGACGCAGACACUGACGCUCAUGCACGAAAGCGUGGGUAUCGAACAGGAUUAGAUACCCUGGUAGUCCACGCGGUAAACGAUGAUGACUAGUUAUUCGUCCAGUUAGAUGGAUGUGUGACCGAGCGAAAGCGUUAAGUCAUCCACCUGGGGAGUACGCCGGCAACGGUGAAACUCAAAGGAAUUGACGGGGGCCCGCACAAGCGGAGGAACAUGUGGUUUAAUUCGAUGAUACGCGAGGAACCUUACCCGGGCUCAAACGGCAGCGGACAGUGGCUGAAAGGCCAUCUUCCUUCGGGACUGCUGCCGAGGUGCUGCAUGGUUGUCGUCAGCUCGUGCCGUGAGGUGUCGGCUUAAGUGCCAUAACGAGCGCAACCCCCAUCCACAGUUGCCAUCAGGUAAUGCUGGGCACUCUGUGGAGACUGCCGGCGCAAGCUGUGAGGAAGGCGGGGAUGACGUCAAAUCAGCACGCCCUUACGUCCGGGGCGACACACGUGUUACAAUGGCGGGGUACAGAAGGAAGCCAGCGGCGACGCCGCGCCGAUCCCCAAAACCCGUCUCAGUUCGGAUCGGAGUCUGCAACCCGACUCCGUGAAGCUGGAUUCGCUAGUAAUCGCGCAUCAGCCAUGGCGCGGUGAAUACGUUCCCGGGCCUUGUACACACCGCCCGU